AUUGGUCAUUAUAACUCUUGAUAUUAGUAAGAGAAAUAGAAACAACUGAUGAAAUUUCCUCAGAUUAAAAACUGCAGCAACUUUAAGUUAUUUGAUCUAAACUGCCUAAAAUGGUGGAGAGUUUACAGUUUGUUUCUUAGCUAAGCAGGUCGACUAUCAAUCAUGCUCUCUCUGCACUGCGCUAGCUACUACGAUCAACAAAAGGGAAGUAUUUUCCGAAGAACACGGUCACCACUGCCAAAGCUUAACGUUGGUGGAUCACUUAACGUUUCUUCUUCGCGGCAGCAGAUUUGGAUGUUGGAGAGCUCACAAGGUGAACAAAUAGAAGCACAAUAGAAAUGACUGAUACUAACGAUCCAUAUUUCGCCAACAGCCUCUGCAAAAACCGAGAACCAAGCAGAGAGAACAUAUUAGCCACCAUGGUGAGGACACAGUACCUCAAUGAUCCCACAGCCAAAGCUUCACGCCAAGAAGCAUUUUAAAGAAUCUAAAUGUUUUCAAUACCCAUUAAAGCAAGACUUGAAAAUACUUUCUGGUAUCCACUUCACAGCAAUCAGAAAAAAAUUUAAGCUUUCACUGGAUGAGUAAUAAAAGGAUCUAUCACAUGCCAAGUAUAUUACAUUGGCUAAGGGAUUUGUAAAUUGUAACGAAGUGGCUUGAUGUUAACCAACUUUCUAUCAUACAUAAGAAGCAUAUAAUGUAACUACUUUCUUCAAGGAUAAUGAGAACAAUAAUAAACAGUGACUGCAAUCAUCGUUCUUCACAACAAGCUGCACCUAAGUAUUUCCCUAUUUGUUCCCAAUUCUUCCCUAUGAUGCUUAGACUGACCAACAAAGCAGGGAGACAAUCAGAAGAGUUAUCCGUACCUUUGCCUGUAAGAAGUUAUCCCGGAGCCAAAAGGUGAUCCCACAGAUCAAGAGAAAAUACAAGGUCAAUAAA
rnacentral:lncRNA from 1 species